rnacentral:tRNA from 1 species
GCCCUGGUGGCUCAGAGGGUACAGUGUCCGCCUGCAAUGCGGGAGACCUGGGUUCGAUCCCUGGGUGGGGAA